UUGUGUUUGACCUUAUACAUCCAUUUGGAACCAGUUGGUUGUUUUUUUGGAGGUAUAGUAAUUAUCAUGGUAUUAUUUAUUUCAAGGAAUUCAAGUUCUUUCUCCAUAGCCUCUCGGCAAUGGGUAGUCUAAAUAAUAUUAAAUUAUAUAUAUAUAUUGAUCACUUGAUGCAUAGGUUAGAGGUCUCCAAAUCAUAUAAUUUUUGGUAUAUAUGCAGUUCAAUAAUAGUAGAUCAUAUCUAAUAGCUCUUAGAUUAACGAUGUAGGACUCUCAUUAUCCAACAUAGUCAAUUGAUUGUAUCUAGAUAGAAAUUCACUCGAGUAUGUAUGCAUGCAUGCAUAUCAUACUUCUCCUACUACCAGAUAUUUAAAGCUUCAGUUGAUAAGGAAUGAGUGAAUAAGGUACAUUAGGCUUAGCAACCCCCGCCCCAAAUUUGAUUGUAAUCGUCCACAUGGAGGCUGAAAUAAGAGAAGAUGGCUGAGAUAAUUUAAUAAAUAAUUGGCAUGAAAGGGAAUCAGACUUCGGACCUCCCAAUGUGAUCGGGAUCACAGACAUGGAGGAGACAUAGCAAUAAGUCGAGACAGCUCAAUUUUGGAUUAAGUCAAAAACUCUUAAAAUCGUCCAAUCCAUUUACAAUCCCAGGAAGAAUAAAGAUAUUCUAACACACUAAUUUAAUAGAGAACUAUACCCAACCCACCAACUCAAUUAGUGCUUCUUUUGCCAAUCACAUAUCUUAGAAUGAAGAGAAAAUUGGGUCAAAAUAUACCUGCAAUGUCACAAAUCCAACUGAAGUAAUUAAAAUAUGAUAAAUCUUAAAUACGGCAUCUCCUCCACAUUUUUGUGCUAUAUUUUUUUUGUUCAUUCUUGCCAUUAGUUACCCAACCUUAAUUCGAACUCGAUCUGAACCUAUCCUUAAUCAAUCCAUGCAUAUACAUGAGUGCCACUAUCCUAAAGAUUUGAUGAUGGAUUUUAAGGCUUUAUUCAACCCAUGGUGACCCAAUCAUGUUGGAGGACCAAACCCAUGCACAACCUGUUAACAGUGAAUUUGGUGUUAGCUAAUCCUAACGCAUCCUAAUCAUAAAAAAUACUCAAAGUUAUUAAGUGGGGAGAAUACGGUUCAUCCCCUCUAUAUUUCACGAGUUACCCUUAGCCCCCCUUUUCUUUAAAAAGUUUCGGACCGGCCCACGAAGAUAUUGUUUUGAUCCACAGUAAUCCUUCCAUCCAUCUCCAUGAACCGAGCAUGAACCAGGCUUCGGUAAAAAAGCUCACUAGACCAUUGCGUGAGACUAGCUUUAAAACUAAUUAAGAAAGUUCUAAGUUUUCCAUUGAGGAUGUGAUCUCCAUUUUGGCAAAAAGAUAAACUAAAUCACAUGAGUUGCAUGUGAUUGUCUUCUGCCCUCCUUCAAAUAGGGCUUAAAGGGUUUAUGAACUGCAGUGUUUGGAUCCAUAGGGAAGGAAAGAGUUAGGGGAAACAACCCCAGGGAGCGUAGCAUUCUGAUCAGGAGAGUUGUAAAAGAGGAAGAUAGGGGAAAAUCAAGCGAGAUUGCCAUGAACUUAGAGCUCCAACAUGUCCUCAAGCAAUCUCAUCCUUAUAUAUCACUAUGGAAGAAGAGCUCCAGUCCAGACUUCAUGGACAACUGGAAACCUAGCCAGCACUUCUUUGGUGCUCCAUGUAUGAGAUUUGUCGAAGCUUUGUUGGUUGGUCCCCUCACAAUUUGCCUUCUCCAAUUUUUCUUCCAUUCAGUAAUGUAGGCUAAUAGGGAACGUAGCUACUUUGCAUGGAAAAACCCUCCGGCCUGUGCAAGGAGGAGAAGGUUCGUUAAUCGACUUCUCCGGUGGAACAGGAUGCUUGAGACUGAGCUCUAGAGUUGCAGAGCUAGAAGAAGCUAACUGAUGUGGUAUCUAGUGGUUGCUUGGGUGAUCACAGGAGGUGCCAUGGCACUAUGGUGGAGCUGGAGUGCUAGAGUGUCCCUUAGAGGCCAUUACCUUGAUAAAACUUCUGUCCAUAAUACAUACUGAGAACCUAUUGUGAACGCUAAAACUACAUACAUAUUAUAUGCAAACCGGAACAUUACUUUGUACAUAUCUGGCAAAGGACUAGUACAGGAUUUCACAUAAAUAAUGUUUGGCUAGCACCUGCUAAAAUUUAACACCGUGCCAUCAAUGAAAGUAAUCGCGGAAACAAAGCCUGACCGUGAAAUUGAUCAAAGAAGGCUAACCUUGUUGGUUCCUCUCUCCCUUCUCUGGACAACUUGUAAAGAAUUGAAUACCUUCUCAAUAUAAAGAUAUCUGAUAACAUUUCAAUUGUAGAUCACAUUCAAAGGACCAACUCAAAGCACGCUUGAAAACUCUCAGAUCAGUGGCCAUAGAAAUCAACUCGCACAUAUAGCCGUUGGCAAAGAUCACAUAAUUCAGUACAGUUCUAACAGAAGAAGGACAAUCUAUAAGAAGGAAAAUUGACUCUAAAUGAAGCCCAAACGUCAAAUUGCAACGGCUCAAAUUUUGGCAUCGAAAUGCACAUCUCAAAAAAUGCAUCAAAGCAUACGCCAAUGCCAUCAGGGUUUUCAUCAUUUCCUCCAUACAAAUACCAAAACAUUCACAAAUUUUACAUCAAUUCCUAAUUAAAGGUAUUAAAAUAUUUCACAUCUUUCACCAAUUUCAAUAUUCAACGGACCAUAUUUGUGUCGCUAUACACUGGUAUUUACAUGACAUCCAUACUGAUUAUACUCUAAAGACCAAUACAAGGAGAGAGGUGCAGGUCAAAACACCAAGGGUGUAAACUAAAUGAAUGUGGUAUAGACCCGUUAGAGCGAGAGUUAUCAGUCUAUGACGAGGCCUUAGUAGUGCAGAAUCUAAGGAUGACAUUUACACCCAUCUUUCUAAUAUUUUAUAAUAUGGGAGAAGUGGGGUAGUUACACUUAUAUUUGUAUUACUCAUAACGUGAUAGGAGAGGUAGCACUACCUAUCAUGUAUGGCAAUAAUAGGCUAUAUGGCAAAUAAUGGCAAGGAUAAGAUCCAAGAUAAGUAGUGGUACCCAUCUUACUAGUUACGAAGAUCCACUUAUAAGUACUAGAUUGUAAUAUUAAGAAAGAGAUCCUUCAAUGCAUCAAUAAUCCAAUUUAUCUUUAAUUACUUUUGCUUUACCCUUACUUGAUACUGCUCUUAGAUUACUAGUAGAACUCUACCUUAUGUGUAGUGGUAAUGUAGAUUUCUUUCACUGCUGCCCCAGCUACAUUCUAUCCAACCUAUCUAUUUACCUUCAAAUGGGUAGUGUGAUGGUAGUGAAAAUAUUGGGGUCUUCAAGGAAACCAAUUUUGGAAUUUCGAUUUAUCAUCAAGAAGUGACUGAAAACUAUCUCAUAGAGCCCUCGGAAUCUAUAGACCGAGGCAAUAAGGAAGAAGUCCUACAUGCGAAUAUAAGAGCAAUUCAAAUCGAAUAGACAAUCAACAAUGCUUCAGUCAAUAUCAUGCCGAAAUUCAAGCUCAAGAUGGGCUUUGACUAUCCUGUAUACAGAUAUUGCGGAAAGAAAUGUUAAUGGAAUAAUGCGGAGACAUGGCCUUAUCAUUAGAACUAGUCAUUCUCUUGAGGUAACAGAUAGGGGGCAAUAGUUCAAAGUUCAAACUGCCUAGAGUGCAACUUAUCCCUACCUUAAGGGCUAAAGGGCAACCACCCUGAUGGAUACCACCACUUAGCACUAUGCAUGCUAGAUCUAUAUGUCAAGGAGCAACUUGUUCAGCCAUAUCCACCAUACUCAUGGAUAGGAGGCAAAUAUGGUGAUGGGUUUUAUCUCUACUAGAUCCUCCAUAGAUUCUACAUGUUGCUUGAGUUUAAGUCUCACGACUAUCAAAACCUCUAUAAUCUUCAAAUUGGCCAAGAAGAAUGACAUCCAAGUCCAAAAUUAGACCGAUGGAUAUAGUAUCAAAUAUAUCUCAUCACCCUUCUGACUGAUGGGACGUGGAGGGUAUUGUUUCCACCAUAUCUAGACCAAUUAGGAGCUAAAGGAUAAUACAACAAGAGAGGUGCAAGUUGAAACACAAAGAAUACAAGCUGAAUGAAUAUAGUACAGACCCAAUAGAGCGUAAGUUAACGGUUUAUGACCCAAGAAUGGUAAUUACAUCUAUCUUCCCAUAUUCAUAAUAUGGGAGAAGUAGUGGGUUAUGAAUAUGGGAAGAGUGGGUUAGUUACACCUAUCAUCUUACUACUUAUAACAUGAGAGGAGGGGUAGCACUACCUAUCAUGUAUAGCAAUAAUGUGCCAUGUGACAAUAAUGGCAAGGACAAGUAUCUAAAAUGAGUAGUGAUACCUAUUUUACCGGUUACGAGGAUCUAUUUAUAAAUAUCAUAUUGUAAUAUUGAGAAAUAGACCCUUCGACAUAUAAAUCAAUAUAAUUCAUAUUUAAUUAUAUUUACUUUACCUUCAUUCUGCUCUUAGAUUACCCAUAGGGCUCUACUUUAGGAUAGUGGUAACUUAGAAUUUUUUAACCGUAACUUUGUUUAUACCCUAUCCAUCCCUUUGAAUGGACGAUGUGACCACAACGAAGAUCCUUUAACGCCAAAACAUUUGGACCCACACUAUUUGAAUCAUCUUUCUUUUUUUUUAUAGUAAAACUAAUCAUCUUCCUUUCCUUUCUAGCUACUUCAAUGCCAAUAGCAUGUCCGUGUAUCUACCUAGCCUGGCUACAGGAUUUGUCACCACUCUUCGCCUGUCAACAAGUUUUUUUUGGCAUGCCGGUCCCUAGCUCCCUAGAUGGUUGAAGCAAGAAAGCCAGUGGGAAACAACUAGGCUAUUUGGGAGGUCGCUCGAGAGGAACGGUAGCACUCAUCUAUGACUGUCUCCGUUUUAGUACGUGAUGUAGUGCUAAGGCCUCCAAGAUUUGGGGUCAUGCUUGCACCUAAUGAUCCAUGCGGCUUUAUGACAUGAGAUGCAAUAGUCAUGGGGGCUUGGAUUUGAAGGCACGCUUGCAGCUGAUGAGCUUGUGGCCUUGUCGCCUAUGAUGCCAUGGAGCCUGUGCCAGAACUAGCCUUAAGUCAACGAAAGAGUUGGGUGAUUUGACACCUAAAAGUUAGGGAGAAUGCAUGAGGGUUAGGUUAUUCCGUAAGUCAUAAAACUUGUUAAAGCGCAAAUGGAUAAAAGUAUUCUUAUAGGCAAUUUCUUCCUUCCCCUUGUAGAAUCGUUUUACUUUGCCCCUUGAUGCCCCACUAUCCUCGUCUUUGUUGAGCUGUAGGCACUAUUUGUUGGGACGAAGGCUGUACUUGCUUAUUUUGCUUUUGUUUUUGAUACAAUUUUUGAGUUGGACCAGAUUCAUUGCUAAGUUGGUGGAUCAAACUAAUUAUAAAGCAACAUACAAAAAUACACGUGUAUCACGCUUUUUUUUCUUUUCAUCUAUUAUUGUGCAUGUUGCUUCGCAGUUAGAUUGGUCCACCAGUCGGGCAGUAGAUCUAGUCCACUAGCUGGGCAUGUUUAUUUUAACUCAAUAAAAAUAGACAUGCAACAAAAAAUAAUUAAAAAAUUUAUACAUACUAAUGGUAAAUUUGUGAUGGUAUAUUUGUAAAAAAAAAAUAUAUAUAGCUUAUAGGAUAUACAUGUAAAAUAAUAAAUUUAUAAUACAAUAUAUGCAAUUUCAAAUAUUUAUGAUGGCAUAUAUAUUAAAAAGAAUAAUGUAUAAAGAUGUCGAUGUAAAUAGUAAUUUUAUAAAUAUAUGUAUACAUAUGGUUGUAAAAAACUCUUUUGUAUUUCAAUCCGAAUCAAGCCGACCGAUAAGCCCAGGCUGUUGGUUCCUUUCAGCUUUUGAAAUAAAAAUAAUUACUUAUGUAAAAAAAUAAGUAUCAAUGCCCAUCCCCAGCCAAUUUGCAAUACUUUGGAGCGGUUAACCUCUCUCAGCUUUUUUUUUCUUUUAUUCCUGUCAGUACUUGAGAGUGAUUUCACGUGACUUGCUGUGACGUUGUGAACAGCUAAUCAGUACCGUACCCAAGCUGUGCUGCUGACACGAUACCCAUAUCCGUCCCCACGGAACAGCAACUAUGAUUUGACUUCCUUGCGAUCAAGAACGAGGCCUAUGACGCCAAGCAUACCCAAUCAAGUACGUGGGACCCACUAUGAAAUGAGAUACACCGAAGGAAUCCUAUUCAUGGCACGACAUCUGAUCCUUUCCGACCCCGUCUCGGUACCACGAAUCUUAGUACGUGGGGCCCGAUAUCAUCUUCCAUGCAAGUCCCCACCAGCCUAAAGUAUUAGAAUUCGGUGCAUGAGACUUCCGGUUGGCUGUCCCUGGCCGACCUCCAAUGAGGACCCUUUACGUGGUCAAGAAGCUGUCCUCUCAUGUCAAUUUGCAAAGAGUAGUGCAUGAGGUGGUAACCAACCUAAGAAUCCAUUGACUUUGACUAAGAAGCCGACGACACUUUCUUCUCUCUAAGGAAUCUUAGAUUAAUACACAAUAUGUCUAAUUAUUUAUUGUCUAAAAAAGUUGAUAGAUUAUUAUAUUAUAUCUUGACAUUUCUAAGGUUCAAUUAUCUCUAAAUUUAAACCAAGUUUCUUGACCGUUGGCAGACAAAAGUGUAAUCCAUUUGCAAAGAGAUCGAGUGCGUAUUGAUGCCUAAUGCUCCUGUGGACUGAGUCCAAAAGUUUUUUUAAAAUAAGAUGCAAAGCAGACGCAGUAUUUCUAGCUAUCCAAGAAAUAUUCUUCAAGAAAAGUCCUCUCCUGGCUUCCAAUACGAACAGGGCUUUUUAGCAAGAAGGAUAUUAUAUGGACUCCAACACAAAUUCGAAUAUCCAUGCCAUUUGAAAUCAUUGGAUGGAGCACUUAUCACUAUUUGAAUUCUCUUAGAAUGGAGCCCGAGCCAAAGAUGAAGACCUAAAGAUCUAAUGAUAGGCUGCUUACUAUCAAAAGUUAUCAGACAGUUAACUAAUUAUCAUUUGAAGUUUCCGAUGACAGCCAUCUCACUAUCGAAAUUAAAGAUAUUUCUUUUAGAAGCAUUUUUUUUAACUGAGAUUGCUUAAUUUGGAUGCUUUAAGACUCUAAUUGUUGAGUUUUGUUCUAGUUGCAUGAAGCAUCUGAGUUUUCUUUGAUAAAGGGGGCUUAGAACCCAUAAAUACCCUUCAUUUAUUCUUAUCAAUCAUUGAAGCAUUACUCAAUUUUUACUUAAGAUUCUUCUAAAAUUCUUGAGUGGUGAGAGGCUACUUGAGACCCAACAAUACAAAGGCACGAUUUGAAAGAAGGCCUUGGUGGGAUGCUAGAGUUUUUUUGCCAUGGUCCCAUGAAGUUUAGAGGUGUGAGGUUGAUAAUCUAGUAGGGAGAUAAGAUAUGAGGUCUUCUAGUUUCUUUAGCUUAGGUCCAUUUUUUAAUCCAUUAGCCUUAUUUACUUCCUUUAGUUCUAGUUAUUAGUUUAAGUUUGUUUCUAGUUUAUUUUUCUACUUCUAGUUCUAGUUUAUGUUGUAGCACUUUAAUCUCGCAUGAGAUAAGAAAUCCUAUAAGUUUCCUUAUCAGAUUUGGUCUCAAAGCUUUCUCUUUCCUUUUCCUUUCAAUUUAAGAUUUAAAGAAGUAAAAAAAGAGAGAAAAAACCAAAAAAGUUUUCUUCAACUCCAUUUUCAAAUCCAAUUCCAUUAGAUUUAGUAACAGAGCUGCUUAGGUUUGGAGUUUUUCUUAUUAUUACUACUUUUUCUUUAAAUCUUUGAUUGUGAUGCAUGCAUUCAUAAAAUAGGAAUCUGAAAUCUUUUUCAAACUUCUACUUUGCUUCAAAGUCUUACUUUGAUUUCAAAUUUUAGCUACUUUCAAAGUCCUACUUGCUCUAAGAUUGUCUUAAAUUUUAAAUUCGAGUUUUCUAGUAGAAAUAAAGUGUACUACAUAGAGUUGGACUCUAGAUCUUAAUUGUUGAUUUAGUUUACUAGAUGAAUUAAGUCUCAAUUGAUUGAUCAAGUUUCUUCUUCUAACAGAGGUUUAGUAUUGUCAGGAUUAGUUAGUAUCAGCUGCUACUAAAUUAACUUCAUGAGAGAUUUCUUCCUAACGGAAGGGAGUUAUUAGGCAGCUCCUCCUUUAAUUGGUACUUUACUGCUAUUGAGAGUGUGAGGAUAAUCAAUAUUCUUUUACAUGUCUAAAGUAUAGUAGGCUAUGAUUCUAUCAGGUUUAACCUAGUAGUAUCUAUCGUCACUCCUCAAUCACUUGUAAGCAUCCCUCUUCCCGCACUCUUCUCCUCCCCUCUCUUGCAAGCUGGAAUUCAGUGAGAUCCUAAAAUUUGGUGAUAGCAGGAGAAAUUUCUCUCCAAGUACAAGCCUCUUCUCCUACCAAUAAAUGUUUGCCUCUGACAAAAUGUACAAGUGAUCAAUAGGAUCCACCUUAAGAGGGAGCAAUGAUGAGGGGAUGCAAUCAUUCUCCUCCACCCCCGCCCUACCCUCCUGCCCCAAAUAGGUGAAGUCCGAUGGUGGGAUACACAAUAGGAUUACCUCAAACUUGUUAGAUUUUAAGACCUAAGUGCGGGAGUGGAGAGUAGCUUGGUGGUUGAGCUAGAGAAGAGGCCCGGAAUGUAGGAUCGGAAGCUUGCGAAUGAUAGAAAAACAUUAGCAUUUUAUGAAUGACAGGAGUGACAAAUCAAAAUGGAACUAUGUAAUUUAGGAUAGGUAAAGGAUUUUGUAAAACCCUUAAGAGGCUAAGGUAUUUUCAUCAAUUGGAAUGAUGUAGUAAUGAUAUUGGAUAACACAUAGGGUGCAGGAUUACAUUAGGUCAAUCAACUAACUUAAGGGAUAAUUAAGAAGUCUCAAACCCAAGGAGGGAAAAGUGCAACUUAGGCAAAGUUGAGGAGGGUCAAAUUACUCUAUACUAUCUGUAUUUUGGCUUCUCUCCUUUGGAUUCCUCGAUUCCCCUGAUUGAGAAAUUAAUGUUACACCUAGCUACAUGUUGCAUCCAUACCUAAAUAAAAAAAUAAAUGGCUCAAUUAUAUAUAGUCUCUCCUAUUAGAUCAAUUGUAUUUUAGUAAAUUUUGGCUCAAGAGAUUAGCCAAAAAAUCUUAGAUCUUCUAGAUAUGAAUAUGCAAAUGGGUGUCAUGUUGGUUCAUUGGAGCAUUUCUUUUUCUUAUGCAGGAUGACUACAAGAUGGAUGGGUCCGCAAACUUUUCUAGCCAUUAUAAUAAUUCAUGCAUAGAUCUGAAAGUAGAUUUUGUGCCUCUCAGCUUGCCUACAUGUUAAUAUUUUGCCAUGUGCUUUCGUUGUAACAUAUAUAGUGCAUUAUACAUGUUAUAUACUACUCUUGGCCCAGCUUAUUUUGUACAAAAGAAGGCUUAAAUAUUACCCUAGCUACUUAAUUGCACAUGUAUACUGCAGGAGAAAAAUUAAUAUCUGGAAGAUCUUUAAAAUAAUAUAUCUCUAUAAUGGUAGCCAUAUUUGUAGUGCUUGUCGAAGUUGCGAGGGAACUAGAAUUUGGAGACUUACUCCUCAAUCAAGUUCUAAAAAAUUCUAACACUAUUCUCCAAAAUUUAUGAAGUAAAUAAAAAAAUUUCCUGAAUUUUCCCUUUUCAAGUUUCUCUCAGUUUCCUCACUUCUAAAGAUUGCAAAUUAGAAUGUUUUCUAGUACCAAAAUUAACAAAAGAAGAGAGGAACUCAAUUUUUCCAUAAUCAUGAUAUAGCUAAGGUAUCAGGGCAACUUUAUUUGCUCAUCCGCAGCAACGAUGUCGUUUCUAGACUAUUAGCAAAUAUCUUUUGGUAAAAGGAAACACGUCAAGAUUACUAAGAACAUAGAAAAAGCCAUUUAUAAAUUAAUCUUCAAUGUCAUUGACAAUUCUUCUAAAUUUUGCAGGGAACUAACAAUUGAGGAAGCAUCCUCCACCAUUUUCCCCCUUCAUUUUCUUGUUAUUCUCACAUCCCCCCACUUUGAGAAACCAAAUGGAAUUUUUCUAUUAAAACUGUAAAUGCCAAAAAUCUUGCAUGAAGAACGCGUUUUCGAGUAGCAAUGAAGUUGAAAUCUUGGAGGACAAAAUUAGGUGCCACUCACACACACACGUCACAAGUAUAUAGGUGUCAUUUUCACCAAAGGAAGAAAAGAAAAAGUAUAUAGAUGUCAAGGGCUUUUUAUUUCAAAGAGAGAAGAAAUCCAUACCGACUCAACUAGGGGCCACAUGAGUUCAGACAGCUCCCUUACAACUAAGGAAAGAACUCGAUUCCCAGUCCAACUUGGCCAAGUUGGACGGAAUGGGAGCAGUUGUUCUGUCCACGUAUAACAGUAACACCAACGGUCCUCUCGGCCUUCCCCUCCCCCUAGUGGUGGUCCAUGCAUCGAAGCCCCCGCCACUUCCAUCAGCUAAUCCCAACCCAGGAAGCCUUUGUCUACUUCCUAUAUCAUAGUUUGAACCGGUUGGAUCGCCGGUUCACAACAAGGUUUCAAUAGUGCUAUUACCGUAACAACUCGGAACCUCAUCCAAAAUGGCCAGCCGAAAGGUAUUAUUUGAGUUCCUUAAUUAUAUAUAAGUAUCCAAGAUUUACUCAGCGAAUAACCGAUGUAGAACUAAACACACGUCCACACAGAUCCUCACAUAACCUUCCGUUCAAGCCAUGAUGUCCUCGUCAGGUUAAGAGUUCAAAUCUAAUCACAAACACCAUGAUCGGCUCGUUAUCAGUCCCAACGAAUUUGUGUUACAGUUUCCCCUAGUUCACGUAGGUUAUAAGCCGGGUCUGCUCUGAUAUCAUUUGUAACAACUCAGGACCUCAUCCAAAAUGGUUGUUCGAAAGGUAUUAUUUGAGUUCUUUAAUUCUGUAUAAGUACCCAAGAUUUAUCCAGCGAAUAGCCGAUGUAGGACUAAACACACGGCUGCAUGGGUCCUCAUAAUUACUGAUUGUUAUGAUGAUAGUAAGUUUUGUUAUUUGUUUCAUUAAUAUGAUUUUAAAUUGUUUAAUAUUCAGAUAAUAUCUAUUAUAAGUUAUACGAGUCGUUGUAAAGGUAUUAGUACAAAAUGAUGAGCAAUAAGAAAAAGUUAAUGAUGUUAUUGCUCAAAUUGCCAUUGUUUAACAAUUUUUUUAAUACGAUACGAACUAUUUUGAGGAUAUAUUUGGUAAAAUUUUAUAUUUUCUUCGGAGAAAAAUUUAUAUCUUGAAUAUAAAGAUUGAAGAAAACAAAGUACAAAUGCCAAAUCAUAAUUUCUGUUAACGUGAUAAUAGUUAGGUAACAACUACUCCUUUCUAUUAUGAAUAUGUAUAAAGCAACGAAACCGUCCUCAUAAUCUUUGUGAUAGCUACCAGUAUUAUCAUAUCCAUUUAUUUAAAACAAUCUUUUCAUAGAGUACCUACUUAAUUAUCAAUUUUAUAAGAAAGAUUACUUUUCUUGUUUUUCUUAUAUAAAGAAUAAAGCAUGUUGAAGGGUUUCUUGAUGAUUUUAUCUUUAAAACUAAGUAUGAAGUGGAUGGUAGUUUAAGUAAAUGUACUACACAUAAUGGAAGCUUCUAAAAUUGACCCAGUAAAGCCAAACUUUAAAAGUACAAUCUUGCAGGAUCUACAUGCAUAUAGUCCCAUAGAUAUAGUAUUUUUCCUUCUCUUAUGUCAAGCCAGCAAUAUAUUUGGUAGUCGCAUCCAAGUAACUUGAGAUUGAUUACCGCCUUCAUCAUGAUUUGAGAUAUUAAAAGUAUUUGAAGAAAAAUUAUUCCGGUAUAGCUUGUUAUUUCCAAGCCCAUCAAUCAAAAAUAAUUCCACCAAACUUGUAUCUAUUUUUUUUCUUAAAUACGAUAUCUUUUACUUCUCUCAAAAAUUUUUCUAGCUAAUCCCAUCUCUCUCUCCCCUCCCGCGCCCACUUCUUUCACGCGUGUGCAUAACAUGUGGGAAAAUACUAGUUAUUACAUAUAUUAAAUGUACAUAAAACUAAUACUAGAUGCUAGUAAAUAUGUAAACACCAAUUUUCGAAGAAUAUACAUACAAAAUUCGAUAUUUAGAAAGAUAUCUAUGUAAAAAAUCUUAUUAUAUUUAGAUCUAAUAACUAAAGUUUUCAAAAAUUUCUAUAGGCAUACCAACAUUAGAACAGUAGAUCUGAUCUUUUCUUAUAAAAUCAAUAAUCAAAUAAAAAUUCUCGCAUAACUCAAAAACUGCAGCUCAGAAAUUCAUUCAAUUGGCGUGGUGCAUUCUAAUUGCUCCCUUCAAACUGGCAUCGUGAAAUGUGCCAUUGAACGAAGCAAAAUGAUUGGUGCAAGGCACUCUAAUGUUUUUUAACUGAGUGGCAAUCCACUUCUUUAAAGCAUGGUUCACAUUCAAGCCGGUUCGGGUGAACCGGGGAGAAGGUGAGAGAGGAAGGAGGCUCCUGGUCAGAGCGAGGUCUAUAAAAUCCGCGGCUCUCUUGAUGAUUUGAGUGCGGUCUCCUGGGAAGUCCUCCGCUUUAUUCGAUUUCUUCGUUCUUAUUCGUCCCUCUUUUUAGCUUAACGGUGUUCGGAACUGGGAGAAGGGUAAAAGAAAAAGCAUAUUCUUUGCCAUCUCGAGUCCAUUUUUCCUGAAGGCCAGCCUCCUGACCUGAAGCCGGAGAAAAGCCUUUUUUCCCCCCUCCUUUUUUAGGCCAUUUUGUGACAAAAAAUCUUUGAGUUUACCCUCAGGAGAUUCCUGAAUCCCGAGAUCUCAGUUAGAUCCAGGUGUUCAGUUUAUUUUCGAUGUUAUGUUGCGAUUUUUCGGGAUUCUGCCAACGGGUUUUGGUUGUUCUCCAGAUUUCUUGGUGUUUUUGGCAUGUGCCGUUGUUGCUAUUGCAGAAAAAAUAUGUUUUUUCCUCCCUUUUUCUCAAUUCUUUUCUUCUCUCUGUAUUUAUUCUAAAGCUCUGUUUGAAGAAGAUUCAAGCUGGAUUUCUGUUCAAAGUUGGAUGCUUUGUUCUAAUGAUUAGAGCAGAUUAAGAUCUUUUCGUUUUCUAAAACGAAAAAUUUUGUGGCAUUGGAUCUUGAUUAUCUUCAUUUUGGCAAUGACUUCAUAUUGAUUUCAUACAAAUAAAGAGUCUUCGAGAAUAGACAUGAAGAUGUUUGGUUUCUUUUUGGUAUGGGUUGUUUCUCUUUCUGGUAGUAUGCAUGUUUUUUCUCACACUUGGGACUAUAGAUCUGGCUUUUUCCGUGUAUCCUCUGUCUCUUUUACGUGCAAAAAUUAUGCAACUUCUUUGCUUCAGUAUAUGUAUGUUUGAGGAUAUUGUCUAUUUUAUAUUCAUUGUAUCUGUUUAUGCUUGUGAGCUCUAUUAAGGGAUUGCACUUGCUUUUGUUUUAAUUGGUUUUAGCUAUGUUUUCCUUUUUGGCAGGGUAGAAGAUUGAUUUGAAGAAAAGGGACAUCCUUUCAUGGUGAUUUGAUUUUUAUUAUUUGCGGUUGUGCUGCUUUCUCUGUUAUGAUGGCUUUGUGCUUUAAGACCUAUGUCCUUGUUAUGAUCUGAAUAUUUGUCAAAUAACCCUCUGGGCUUUGGCUUCUAGAUAUGUGGAUCAAGGAAAGUUGAUCUGUUUGAGAUUUUUUAUCAGGGGGAAGAAGCACCCGAAUACCUUCUAGAUGGACUUGAUAAAUUUUCACCUCUUCGGUGUGAUUUAGAAUCCCAAGGCUAUCAGACAGCUACGACCGUAGGCGACAAGAUAGUGAGUGAAUGUGAUGGAUUAACUCUCAUUCUUCAUUAGCUUAAUGUAUAUGGAGUAGUUUAAAUCUUGCAAAAAAUAAUUGUUUGUAUUUACAUGCUCAGUAUGUUAUUGGAGGAUCUGAUGAUGGAACCAAGUUGUUGAUGAAUGUCAAAGUUUUUGAUAAGUUAACAGGAAUAUGGUGAGAUUUCCUUGUCGUUCAUUGUUCUCAGCUUGUAUUUGGAGUUGGAAUACCAAUUUUGCUUGAAUUGAUAGGUCGAUUCCUACCGUAUUGGGUACGAAACCUGUGCCAUCUAAAGGUCACUCAGCCGUUCUUUUUAAUAAUGAUCGGAUAUUGAUUCUUACGAGGGACUCUCCACUGGAUGACUGCACCUGGUUUCUUGAGGUUUGAAUUCUUCAGACUGUUUUCUCAUAUGUAGGAAUGUAAAACCUCUAUUACAUUUGUGAUGCUUAUGAGAUUUUGUCGGAUGGAGCCUUUCAUUCAAUUUUUAUAAUGCAUCACAUUGUUUGUCGUUUCUUCUAGAGGAAACACAGAAUUUUAACAAGCACAGGAUCUUUUUUUGUUCAGAAUUUUGUCUGGUGUGUGGACAUGUAGUCUGUACUGGUAAUUUCAUGAGCGACCACUCCAAGGGACCAAAUACAGAACAUGAUGCUGAUUAAUAAUCUGAAUCAUUCUUCAGAACUCUGACUACUUGAGUGCUAGUAAUGAACAUGAUGAAAAAUGGGUUCUUAAGGGAUUGAAUUCAACAUUCACAAACAAUAUUAUGAAAAUGGCAUGUAGGGCAUAUCUUAUACAUUUGGUGUGUGUCAAAUCAAUUCAGAGUUCAUUUGUAUCCAACACUAUCACCAGUUAAUAGGUUUAUGGAUGCUAAUAUCUUUGUAUUAGGGACAAGGAUUUGAAGUUUUGUGCCAGAAGCUUUGUCACAUGACAAUCCCCGAUGUCUUUAAUCUACAUAUAAUAUAUAAUGCAGUUGCUUUUUUUCUUUCUACAUAUUCAACCUUCUUUGCUUAUGAAUUUCUUUUCUAUUUGUAUAAUCUGGUAGGUGAGCACCCCUUUUGUUAAAGAGAAGGAUAAGAUACUUGGCACAGAGGUGGUUGCCUGGAGCAAGGGGGUCAGAGGUGACGGCCCAAUGCCAAUUGUCAUCAGUGGCCCUUCUGGAGUUGGUAAAGGUACCCUAAUAUCCAAACUUAUGAAGGAAUUUCCAUCAACUUUCGGGUUUUCUGUAAGUCACACGACGCGAGCUCCAAGAGAGAAGGAAGUAGAUGGAGUUCAUUACCACUUCACAGAAAGAAGUAAAAUGGAGAAAGAAAUAAUGGAUGGGAAAUUCCUUGAAUCUGCAUUAGUUCAUGGAAACCUUUACGGAACAAGUAUUGAAGCAGUUGAAGCAGUUACAGAUGCUGGGAAGGUAUUAUCAGAUCCAUUUACUCUAAUUGUGAAUGCAUAUGUGCAAAAGACUACUACAUUUGCUGCUUCUCCUUCUUCUCCUCCUUUGCUUAUUCUCCUUGCAAGUUGGAUGUACUUCUCAUUUGAUUUUGGGCCUUUUUAUCCUUGUGAAUUGGAUGUACUUCUCAUUUGAUCUGGGGGCCUUUUCAAUUACAGAGAUGCAUUCUUGACAUUGAUGUUCAAGGUGCUCGAUCUGUGAGGUCUAGUUCUCUGGAAGCAAUAUUCAUCUUUAUCUGCCCCCCAUCAUUUGAAGACCUUGAGAAGCGCCUUCGUGACCGGUAUGUUAAAAACUCUAAAAAUCUUUGAGAUUAUGAUUUUGUUCUUUGUAACUACCAAAAUCUUCUAAUUGUUACUCCAAGGAAUCAGGCUAUCUAAUGCUCUCAUCUUGUUAACAUUAGAGGAACUGAGACUGAGGAACAGGUACAAAAGAGACUGAGAAAUGCGAAGGCAGAGCUUGAUCAAGGAAAAUCUCCUGGUCUUUUUGAUCAUAUCUUAGUGAAUGAUGUUCUUGAAACAUGCUAUAAGAAUCUUAAGGUGCACUUUACCCCUUCAAGUAUAUAUAGCUACUUUUCACUUAUUUGCAACCUGGAUUCUCUUGUUUUUAACGUUUAGCCAACCUCCAACUAUUUGUCUCAUCGAAUUACAUUUUCAUGUAGAAAAUACUUGGUUUGGAUGAGACUGCUGAUGCUUUGUAUCAACAAUGUAUGUUCAAUCUGGUGCAAUUUUUCGUUGUAUUUUGCUCUUUUGAAAUUACAAUUACUAAUAUAUUUUGUAUCACACAGCUAUGAAGAAUCACAAGAUCCCUUUAUGUUACUCCAUAUCUAAAACAGAUCAAAAAUUUCUGAUACAUGGUGGAAGUAAUGAGCUGGGAGCGGCAACCCCUACCUCGUAAGCUAUUCGAUUCUGAGCUUUUAGUAUUGAAUUCCUGUUGAAGGAGUCUGACUCCUUUCCUCUGUAUUUUGAAUUGGAUAGGUUCAUGCUUGAUGCAUCCUUGCUUAAAGGAGGUGCGCCUGGCCGGACGAGAGGACUGAAAAUAUAUGCUAUUGACCCAUUAACUGAUAGUCUAAAUUGGAUUGAACAACUUUAGCAACCAAAAGAAAUGAAAAACCUAAUCAAGAUAUAUGCAUCGGUACUGGCUAUCUCAAUUUUAGAUCAACUUGGCCUAAAGUUAUAAAAGUUUACACUCAGACGUAGAGCAAUGUGGUUGUCGAGUUCAAAUUGCAUAUUAAAUAGGUACUGCGUGAUUUGUACUAUUGUUACAGCAAAAAGUUUUCUGGAGACAUUAUUUUAUGUUCUUACUUUGUAGGUGAGAACUAAAUUUAUUAUUCUCUUCACUGGGACAUAGGAGACAAUAAAAUGCAUGUCUUAAUCUAUGCUAUCUCCAGGGGUCUGUUCUUGAUGCAUUAAAAUUUCUUUUAGUACUUUAUAACCACUUGGUGCUUUGUUCUUAGUGAUGCUAUCUUGAUCUUGGCAAUUGAAUUGUUUCAGUUGGUGGUAAAUCUUUUAAGCCAUUAAUUUGCAUCACAUGUUCUUGUUUUAUAUAUUAUUUUGUUCAAUGUAUCAACGGCCAACUUUGAAGAAUUUAGGGAGCCACCAGUUCAAAGCAUGAUAUGUUUAUAUUAUAUAUAUAUAUAAUUAUAAUUAUAAGGGGUGAAGAAUGUCUGAAACUUCAGUAAAAUGUUAUAGAUAAUACAAUGAAACGAGUUUGGUAAGAUUUAUAAUAUGGUAAUACCCAAAGAAUUACUAUUUAACAAUUUUAUUGUCAAUGAGAAAUGUUAUUUGGCCUUAAAAAGAAAGAAGAAAUUGAACAGUGCCUAGCAUUUUAGGCCAUGGGUUAUAUCAUUUGCAAAGUUGGAAAAGUUACCAUGUCAGCAUCCAAGGUGAUAUACGAUGAAACUGAGAUGCCUAUAUGGAUGUUGAUAUGGAAACACAAUUUGAUCAGCCCCAUUUGAAACAACAGUAGCAGCUAAUUAAUCGGCAUAAUGAAUGAAGACAUACAAGACUUUCAAUUGAAGCAGAGAUUUAAGUUGUGUUGCUGUAAAAUUAAUAAUAAUUUUAUGUUACUAAAUCCAGUGAUCAGGUUCCUAGUGAAAGUGCUAUCUUUCACAUGGUAUCUCAAAUCCAGUUAUAUGAUUGGGCCUAUCUCCAUUAUCCUUCUAGGCAAUGAGGCUUAAUUUUCCCUGUUACACUUCAGCUGGAAUUUUUUCAUUGGCUACUGUUGGUACUUGAAUAGCUCCACAGAUAGCUAUCAGACCAAAGCCCUCAUCAAAAUCUUUUGCCCUAAUUUUUUUUUUCUAAUUAGAUGCAUCAACUAAACAACAUUAAGAUAUCAAACAAACCUAAUCUUUGACCCUGCAUUCUUUUUCCACAAAGUCUGCCCUAGGACCGAUCCAAGCCCAACGCUGGACUAUUUCCCUCUCUCUAGCUUUGGAUUAGCUGCCAGUGUUUUCUCCUAAAUAAGUGGAUUGGGACUGCCGGCCAACAGGGACACGAAUUUUCGUUGGUUCUGUAUGUCAUCAAACUUAGAUGUCUGCAUCAGCCUUUCACAUGCAUAGUUUGCAGAAACCUACCACCAUUUUCGGAUAAAGGAAACCUACCGUCGAUUGCCAAGUAAAUCCUGCUCCAAAAAUGUGGGACAGGGUUUUGCAGAGGGAUUAGAAAAAGGAUUACAUACCAACAAUGGUUAUGUUGUGAGAGAAAAAAGAACUAAUACUUAAGAGAUGCACCAUCCAAAAUCUUUUUGAACCCAGAACAUCUAGCUGAGCAAGGAGGUACGACCACUGGUUUAAGCUCUAGUUAAUGCCAAUGAUAUGUUAUUGGAGGAAGGAGAAAGAACCUCAAAAUAAGUUCUAAGAUACAAAAGAUAAUAAAGCCCAAAGUUGAGGAACACUAAUCAGGCAACAGGGCUCCAUCUUCUCGGACUUCUCACGCCAUCCAUGCCUUCACUGAGUGCACCCUCUUGCACCCUUUAUCCCAGCCAUAAGUUUUGAAUGUAACCUUGCUUAACUUCACCGCUCGCUGGGUGCUGAAUUAGUAGGCCAGCACCUCAGAAUACACGAGCUGAACUUAACUUGCAGCAGAUGAACCCUCAACAAACAACCAUCAAAGAAUACAUAGCUGAACUUCAUGUCAACUUGCAGCAGCUGAACCCUCAAUGGACACCCAUCAACCACCAAACGCCAGCAAAUUGCCCAUGAGAGCAUACGCACGAGAUAUCCAAAAUCACCGGAGACUACAUCUCAUAACAGACGAGUGAAUAUAGAAAUGUUUGCAUGAACAGUUGAACGUACCAUUGAUUCGGAUUGCUGUAAUCUUCAAACCAAUAAGGUAAAAAAGGGGGCAUGUUCUUGUUUGUUACAGUUACUAAUAGAUUACUUCAUUCUACCAUCCCUUUUCAUAGUACAAGUAUUUAACAGAUAUGAGAAGACGCUAAAACAAAGAGAAGAAUAAGACCAGCUGCUGCUCUCUCUCUCUUUGCGUGCUUCCUCCCACAACACGAAAAGAAAAUAAAGAAAGAAAAGCAAAUGGAAAAGCCAAGAAUGAAUUGCCUUUGAACAUCAGACCUACCAAUGACAUCCCUCUUGAAUUGGCUCCAUGCCUCCAGCUUGCCCUCUUGCCUUCACCUAAAUCAAGCAGUGGAACAAGUAGAGGAGACCCUCUCAAAAGUACCGCCAACAUAAUCUGGGAGCGAAUUAAACUAGAAAGUGACUUAUCUAUAUCAGAAUUGACUAGGAAACGCUGGAAACACUAGCCAUGCUCACAAGGGGUAAUCACUGGAUGGCGACAGCCCUGUUCGGAGGCCGAUUCACAAGGAUGCCACCACGCUGCUGUCCCGAGCAAUCCCCUUCCUCCACCCUCUCACCUGAUUUGGAGUGAAAAGAUAACUGGAAGCCAGACUGCUGUUGGUAGCCAUCAUUACCAUUAGCAUACGCCUGUGCUUCACAAAUACCUUGCACUACUGGCCUUUUUAUUUCAUUCGUGUUGCUUCCUGGACAGCCGGAGGGCAGAACUUGGGAAGCGGAGGAGCUAGCUGACUGCGUUGGAAGUGAUGCACCUGCAUUCCCCCCAUUCUCAGGGUUAGCAAUAGAGGCACUAGCUUCAGCUUUCUUCGUGUUGAGAAAACGACCUCCACAACCCCUUGCCCUCCUCAUUGCAUGCAGGUGACGAGAUUCAUGAAGAUAUGGCUGCAGAAUGAAAGAUACAUCCAUGUAUUGCGUCAUUGGAUUUUCAGACAGAGAUCACUUUCAUACUCACUAGCAGGAUGGUACUGGUGUAGUCAUAAUUAUCAAUAACCAUAAACACUGAAUAAAGUAAACCAGUCACUCUUAAGUUGAAUCCCUUAUCAAAAACUCAGGUGGCUUUUCAUCUAAAUAGCGAAAAAUCAAUAGGAGCAUGAAUGACAUGCAGAACAUUUUAUAUGUUUUCUGGAUCAAAGAUGUUGGGCAAUGAACUGAAUUAAGCAAAGAGUAAAGAUGUUGGGCAAUGAAAUGAAUUAAGCAAAGAGUUAGCCCAGCAGCGUAGAGGAUGCUGGAUAGAUAAUGGACAGAUCAGAAAGAAUAGAUAUACAGAUGCAUAUGGACGACACUGGCUCCAAGACAAGUAGAAGCAGAAGAUGGUGAGAUGGUUAACAGACAAACAGCAUUAAGCUUAGGUAGGGAUCAAACAAGGAAAACAGGCCAAAAAGUAGAUGAUAUGAAAAGCUUGGAUGUACGAAAACAAGACUGACCCAAAAACUUCUUAUUUCACAGGCUCAGGUUUGAAACAGAAAUUAUCGUUGAAUAUUAAGGCUUCUUUAUAUUUAUAGCAAUGUCAGCAGAACCAUCCCGAACCAGCAGUUCGGAGAGUACCGAGCUGUACUAGUAACGGACUAGGACGGUUCCAGCAACUGAAACGAAAAGUAUCCGAUGGAGGGGUAGGAGAAGGAAAGAGACGAAAAGAGAGCGAGUGGGGGAGGGAGGAAGAGGGAGAGGAAGGAAGAGCUAAGGCUGGCGGAGGGCCGGCAAAGGCCGGCGUGCAAAGGGGGAGAAGGAGAAAGAAAGAGAGGAAAAGAGAGAGCGAGCGGGGGAGGGAGGGAAAGGAAGGAAGAGCGGAGGCCAGCAAGCGUGUGGAGGGCUGUUGAGAAGGGGCGCCACCUCUGGUUCCCUAUUUCGUUCGAAACAGAGGCUCCAAAGGAGGCCCCUUUUUAAAUUUGACAAUUUUUAAGUGAAGUCAGCAAAUCACAAAUUUAAAAGGGGUCCCCUCCGGGGCCCAUAUGUCGAACGAAAUAGGGGACCGAAGGUAGAGCCCCUCCUCCAUGACCCUCCGCGCGCUCGCCAGCCUCUGCUGCUCCUCUGCCGGCCUCUUUCUCUCUCCCUCCCUCUCUCUCCCUUCCUCUCUCUCUCUCUCUUUUUCUCUCUCCCGUUCUCUCUCUCCCCCGUCUCCUCUACUGUAUCGGCACGGGCCUAGCACGGAACGUUAUAGGGGCAUAUCAACUUGUGCCGCUGGCCCCGGUUCUGGCAUGCAGACCUUAAUUUAUAGUGUUUAGACCUCAGAUGCCUUCAAUGUUUGCAGUAAAAAAUGCUGAAUAGGAGUUUAACUGUUGAUAACAGAAAUAAGGAAAUAGAAGUAGUUCUAAGAAAAAGUCAAGAUACAGGAAUAUGCAAGUAUAUAUUUAUCACACAUCUACGACAUCAUUGUCAUAGAAAGCAUACGCUUCAAUCCUAUAUAAUAAUUGAAAAGAAAAUUUUUUUUGAGGUUAGAAACUAAAUUGCUCAAAAAAUAUCAACCUUCAAUUCUAAAGUUUGUGGAUUAUACACAUCAUAUGCUCUGAGGACAACAACAUAGACAUCUCAAGUAUCCGACAAGGAUGACACAUAGAUCACAAGUAUCAGAUCCGACAAUCUUUGGUAAAUGUAUCAAUUCACAAUAAUUUUUAUUUGCUACUCUUUUAGGAUGAGUUACUUCUACAAUAUAGACAUAUGGGCAGGACAGCGGAAAACAAUAAACCAAUACCAGAGAAAAAGAAAUGGUCUUGUAUCUAACGCUACCAGGAUCUUGCUACAUUAUGUUCACAUUGCCUAAAGGAUCUAAUUCAGAAGGUAUAAAUGCAUAUCAAAAAACAUGUAGAUGUGCAUUGAGAAACACAAUCAUCCUUGAAUUGAAUCUAUCAUGGUGACCAUUUUGGAUUUUCUGUUUUGGAGAAUGGAAGGAAAUAGGAAAUGUAGAACACGGAGUUUUCCUCGGUCAGGGAAAAAACAUCUCAAAGCAUCUUUCUAGCUUGAACAUCUGUGUAUCUUGGAACAGCAUCAGGCAGAUAAACAACUGAUGUACUUUUUUCCUUUUCUUUCUGAUUUGCCUCUGUCUAAUCUCUCCUCUCUCUCUUCUCUGUAAUUCUCCCUUACCUCUGAAUAAAUUGCAGGUGACCUAGCAUCUUUUUCUUUCAGAAAAAGAACAUCUGUGUGUGUGUGUGUGUGUGUGUUUUUUGCAUGUGCAUAAAAUAAAUCAAUAACAGAAAUAGCAACUGGAAUCAUACUGAAAUUUAGUUAUUGAAGUUUUAAAAUAGUUAUAAUUCAACUUGCUCAAGAAUCCUCAAGCAGGUCCUGAAAACCAAAAAGUUGUUAUGUUCAAACUUCAAAGUAGAAGUUAAUGUCCAGAGAUUCAAGUUAAACUCGCAAAAUAUAAAGGCACAAGUAUUUAACAUGGUUGACAUAAAUAUCAUAUCUAAAUUAACAUGAACAACAGAUCAGGACAAUUAUAUAGGUGUUAGGUGUCAGACAAGUACUAGCAACAUUUAUUUAUUUUUUUAAGAAUAUGCAAUAAUUCCUAAUAUAACAUAAAAAGAUAUCAAAGUCAAAAGAAGCAGAGGAACGAAUGUUAGUGUGCCUAUGAUAAUUCGCUAUGAGAAAUCAUGGAAUUUAUUGGCAUUUAAUGUAUCUAAGAUUGUAAAUAAAGGACAACAUAAGGAACAACACAGACAAUAUACUAUCUGAAGUGCCAUACAGGAUUACAUGUAUUAUUGAUACAUAUAAGAAAACUCCAAUAAUUCCUAAUAUAUCAUAAAAAGAUAGCAAAAUCAAAAGAUAAAGAGGAACAAAUGUUAGUUUGCAUAUAAUGCCAGAUAUGAGAAAGAACCACGGAAUUUAUUGAAAUUUAAUGCAUCUAAGGUUCUAAACAAAGGACAGCAUAAGGAACAAAAAGACAAUAUACCAUCUGAAGUGGCAUACAGGAUUACAUGUAUUAUUGAUUUCUAAUGUAUCAUAAAAAGAUAGCAAAAUAAAUUCAACUGACGAUAUCCAUAAGACUCGAGCAUCUGACACUAAAGCUAAGAAACCUUGACAUGUUAUGCAUUUAUGCUAGCUACAAUAAUGUAACAUGCAAUUGCUGAAAACUAACAACUCGUGAAGGAGAUACUCUUCAAAGCCAAAUAUUCAGGAAAUGCAUAUUAAAUAUUGAAUUGAAGGAAAGAAAAGAAAAGCUGCACACGAUGAUAUGAUCAUUAUACUGGUAGUUUUACCAGAUUUGAUAGGUAUAUAAUAAAACCAGACAUAUCACUAUACACAUGUAAGAAGGCAAAGCAAUGAAGUAUGACUUUGUACAGGAGGUCCAAAGCAAGAGAAAGCAAUGAAGACAUUGAUAGGAGAUGCUUGCCUAUCUCAAGAGGAUGAAUCAAAUUUCCAACUAGAUGACUUUUAACAUUAUAAUACAAAGCAGAAGUUAAGAAAAGCACUAAUUGUAACAACAAGUUAUCAAAUCAAAGAAACUACAAAAUGGUGGCAGUGAUAUCCUAGCCUCAGUUACUUGAAAAGGAGAGCUGAGGGUUUGAGGAAGCAGAGCUCUUAGAAAAGUAAAGAAGCACUGUAGAUGUGGGUGAUGGAAAUAAGGAAUCAUUAAGAAAAAUAGUAUGUCUAAUAUUGAAAUCCAAUCAAACACUCCAUAAAGGAUGGUGUUUAAGUGGAAAAGGAACAGGAAGGCAAAAUGCCUGAAUGGUGGUUCCAAAUAGCAAGUACUUUACAUUAUCAUAGAAAAAUAAAGGGCCAUAGAACAAACGGGUUAUCACAAUAUAAGGCUUAGUAAGACAUGUCACACCCCAUUCCAAUAGCACGAGCUAAGCACAUGACACAGCCGCACAUCCAUAUGGUUUAAUCCCAUAGGACAUACAAGGCCUGCCUUUAGACAGACACACACACACGUCAUGUGAUGAUCCGUGCGGGCAUGUGUUUAGUUCCACAUCAGCUAUGCACUAGGUAGAUCUUGGACAAUUAUACAAGACAACCGAAUCUAAAUAAUACUUUUCCAGUAGCCUUUUAGAGUGAGGUUCUGAAUUGUUACAAAUGGCAUUAGAGCGGACCCGACAUAUGGCCCAUGUGGACUAGGAAACACUUCAACACGAGCUUAUAUGGAUUGACUGGGCUGAUCAGAAUGUUUGUGAUUGGAUUUGAAUUGAUUUAGACCCUUAAUUUACCAAGAACACCGGAGUUUAAAUGAGGAGAGUAUAUGAAGAUCCAUGCGAGCAUGUGUUUAGUUCUAUAUCCGCUAUGAAUUAAAUAGAUUUUGGAUACUUAUAUAGAGCCAAGAAAUCUAAAUAACACCUUUCAACUAGCCUUUUUGGAUGAGGUUGUAGGUUGUUACAAAUGUAAAAAAUAGAAAGAGAUAUAGACUUAGUAAGUUACCUAUACCUCUAGUUGAAUCAAGCAUAAUAUGCAAGAAAUAUGAAUUUUUAGAAUUUGAAAUUGUAAAUACAGUAGUUGAACAAAUAUAGAAUACAAAGUGUGGUGUGUACACAUUUAUCAACAUCAUUUCUUUCAAGAUAUGCUAUGCAUCAGAUCAAUAAGUUUUUUUCUUUCCAAAUCAACAUCAAUAUACCAUCAACUCUUUCUUAUCCUUUACGACUACAACCACAAUCAACUCCGUAACAAGGCCCAAAAGAGUUUAGUCCUUGAAUACAGAAUAUGCUAUCAGCAUGUGCUAGUUCCCUCAAAAAAAUUUCUUAAGGAAAAAAGGCUGGAGCCCUUGUUUCGUUUCAAAACAAGGGCUCCAUGCUUGUUCUUGUACGCUAGAGGUGAUAGGGGCUCAAAAGCCCCCCCCCCUUUUCUCCCUCUCUUGACCUCUCUCUCUCCCUCCUCUUCCUCACCCUCCCUCCAUUUUCUUUUCCCCCCUCCUUCCUCACCGGCUUUGCUGUGUUAAUACAAACCCGGAACGGAAUGGCACGAUACUGUACUGCCAAGCAAGUAGUACAGGAUUUGGUCCCGGCACAGCAAACCUUGUCCUGAUGUACAAUUGAACAUUUAGACGUGUAAGAUGACUAUAGUGAACGGCACUAUGAACUAUUCCGGCCUAAUUUUGACUAGGGAGGAUAGAGAAAAUAACAAGCAAAACCCAUAAGAAUAUGCUCAUAUAAUGACUGGAAAAGGUCAAAGUAAUUUAAUAGUGAGAAAUGAAAUUAGAACAUUUCUCCAGUGAUUGCAUUAUAUAAAUCUAUAUGAGCUUCGAAACCCUAAAACAAGAUGAACAAGAGUCAGGGUGUACAAGUUAUACGAACCAUUAAUAUAAAACAGAAUAUUGAAAGUUAAACAAAUAAAUACAAGGCAUAAGGGGGAAAAAAAUCAAAAAUAGCUAUUUAGUAUGAUAUGAUAUUCUUUUCAUUUUCCUUUUGUUAUAUGACCCAUAUAAUAGAAAUAGGAGCAAAGAAUGGUGUUUUCUACAUAACAGUCU
rnacentral:lncRNA from 1 species